UACAGAGGUCUCAAGCGUUGUUCGGAUUCAUUGGGCGUAAAGGGUGCGUAGGUGGCGAGGUUAGUCAGGUGUGAAAUCUCGGGGCUCAACCCCGAAACUGCACUUGAUACUGCCUUGCUAGAGUACUGGAGAGGAGAUUGGAAUUUACGGUGUAGCAGUGAAAUGCGUAGAUAUCGUAAGGAAGACCAGUGGCGAAGGCGAAUCUCUGGACAGUUACUGACACUGAGGCACGAAGGCCAGGGGAGCAAACGGG
rnacentral:rRNA from 3 species